GACGAACGCUGGCGGCGUGCUUAACACAUGCAAGUCGAACGAUGAAGCCGGAGCUUGCUCUGGUGAAUUAGUGGCGAACGGGUGAGUAACACGUGAGUAACCUGCCCUUGACUCUGGGAUAACUGCUAGAAAUGGUAGCUAAUACCGGAUACGACCCUCGGAGGCAUCUCCAGGGGGUGGAAAGAAUUUCGGUCAAGGAUGGACUCGCGGCCUAUCAGCUAGUUGGUGAGGUAACGGCUCACCAAGGCGACGACGGGUAGCCGGCCUGGGAGGGUGACCGGCCACACUGGGACUGAGACACGGCCCAGACUCCUACUGGAGGAAGCAGUGGGGAAUAUUGCACAAUGGGCGCAAGCCUGAUGCAGCAACGCCGCGUGGGGGAUGACGGCCUUCGGGUUGUAAACCUCUUUUAGUAGGGAAGAAGCGAAAGUGACGGUACCUGCAGAAAAAGCACCGGCUAACUACGUGCCAGCCGCCGCGGUAA
rnacentral:rRNA from 1 species